AAAAUACUUUCUCCGUUCCGAAUUACUUGUCGCAGGUAUGGAUGUAUUUAGAUGUAUUUUAGUUCUAGGCACAUCCAUUUUCGCGACGAGUAAUUUAGGACGGAGGGAGUAGAUG
rnacentral:pre_miRNA from 1 species